rnacentral:rRNA from 1 species
GACGAACGCUGGCGGCGUGCUUAACACAUGCAAGUCGAACGAUGAAGCCUAGCUUGCUAGGUGGAUUAGUGGCGAACGGGUGAGUAAUACGCGAGUAACCUACCUUUAACUCUGGGAUAAGCCCGGGAAACUGGGUCUAAUACCGGAUACGACCAAUCUCCGCAUGGGGUGUUGGUGGAAAGCGUUAUGUAGUGGUUAUAGAUGGGCUCACGGCCUAUCAGCUUGUUGGUGAGGUAACGGCUCACCAAGGCGACGACGGGUAGCCGGCCUGAGAGGGUGACCGGCCACACUGGGACUGAGACACGGCCCAGACUCCUACGGGAGGCAGCAGUGGGGAAUAUUGCACAAUGGGCGCAAGCCUGAUGCAGCGACGCCGCGUGAGGGAUGACGGCCUUCGGGUUGUAAACCUCUGUUAGCAGGGAAGAAAAGAGAUUGACGGUACCUGCAGAGAAAGCGCCGGCUAACUACGUGCCAGCAGCCGCGGUAAUACGUAGGGCGCGAGCGUUGUCCGGAAUUAUUGGGCGUAAAGAGCUUGUAGGCGGUUUGUCGCGUCUGCUGUGAAGGCCGGAGCUUAACUCCGUGUAUUGCAGUGGGUACGGGCAGACUAGAGUGCAGUAGGGGAGACUGGAAUUCCUGGUGUAGCGGUGGAAUGCGCAGAUAUCAGGAGGAACACCGAUGGCGAAGGCAGGUCUCUGGGCUGUAACUGACGCUGAGAAGCGAAAGCAUGGGGAGCGAACAGGAUUAGAUACCCUGGUAGUCCAUGCCGUAAACGUUGGGCACUAGGUGUGGGGAACAUUCCACGUUUUCCGCGCCGUAGCUAACGCAUUAAGUGCCCCGCCUGGGGAGUACGGCCGCAAGGCUAAAACUCAAAGAAAUUGACGGGGGCCCGCACAAGCGGCGGAGCAUGCGGAUUAAUUCGAUGCAACGCGAAGAACCUUACAAAGGCUUGACAUAUACUGGACCGCAUCAGAGAUGGUGUUUCCCUUCGGGGCCGGUAUACAGGUGGUGCAUGGUUGUCGUCAGCUCGUGUCGUGAGAUGUUGGGUUAAGUCCCGCAACGAGCGCAACCCUCGUUCUAUGUUGCCAGCACGUUAUGGUGGGGACCCAUAGGAGACUGCCGGGGUCAACUCGGAGGAAGGUGGGGAUGACGUCAAAUCAUCAUGCCCCUUAUGUCUUGGGCUUCACGCAUGCUACAAUGGCCGGUACAGAGGGUUGCGAUACUGUGAGGUGGAGCUAAUCCCUAAAAGCCGGUCUCAGUUCGGAUUGGGGUCUGCAACUCGACCCCAUGAAGUCGGAGUCGCUAGUAAUCGCAGAUCAGCAACGCUGCGGUGAAUACGUUCCCGGGCCU